rnacentral:rRNA from 1 species
UACGAAGGACCCAAGCGUUAUCCGGAUUUAUUGGGUUUAAAGGGUGCGUAGGCGGGUUGUUAAGUCAGUGGUGAAAGCCCAUCGCUCAACGGUGGAACGGCCAUUGAUACUGCAAGACUUGAAUUAUUAGGAAGUAACUAGAAUAUGUAGUGUAGCGGUGAAAUGCUUAGAGAUUACAUGGAAUACCAAUUGCGAAGGCAGGUUACUACUAAUGGAUUGACGCUGAUGGACGAAAGCGUGGGUAGCGAACAGG